UACGGAGGGUGCAAGCGUUAUCCGGAUUCACUGGGUUUAAAGGGUGCGUAGGAGGGCAGGUAAGUCAGUGGUGAAAUCUUUGGGCUUAACCCGAAAACUGCCAUUGAUACUAUCUGUCUUGAAUCCCGUGGAGGUGAGCGGAAUAUGUCAUGUAGCGGUGAAAUGCUUAGAUAUGACAUAGAACACCAAUUGCGAAGGCAGCUCGCUACACGAAGAUUGACUCUGAGGCACGAAAGCGUGGGGAUC
rnacentral:rRNA from 1 species